CUAUCAUUUCUUCAUUCUUUUUCGUUAGUUUUCCUUUCUCCUACACGAUCGUAGAUGGACUUCCAAAAAUACUCAUGGACGGUUUGCUCUGUGGUCGUGCGGGUACCGUCUCUUUUGCUGUUGUACUUUCGUAUCUCUACGUGCAAGACGGGAAGAAGACAAUUUUAGUGCUCUUAUAUUCUCGAAUGUGAAGCUUCCCUUUCGCAUCGGAUUGACGACUGUUCCGGUCUUAUCUCGUCGGGAAUUCUGUGUCCCUAUGACAACAGGGGUCAAUGAUUCCGACUCAGUGGACUCUACUUUGAUCCAAUCCAUGGGAAGGAAGAGAUGAUCUGAAAGAAAGCUUCAACUCCAGAUCUUCAAGCUAAAGUAGUAGAGUUGUUGCAGUUAAGCAAUUGGAUAGAAAUGGGCUUCAAGGUAAUCGAAAAUUUUGUGUUGAGGUUCUUAUGUUCAGUUUUUUAUGUCUUUCUAACCUUGUAAAUUUAAUCGAUUACUGUGCUGAUGGGGACCAGAGGCUACUUGUCUAUUAGUUCAUGCCCUUGGGAUCCUUGGAAGAUCAUCUUCAUGAUAUCAUUUCAGGCAUUCUUGUUCAUUAUCUUGUCAAUUGUUUGCGACUUAGUUAUUGCAUGUUCAACAAGAAGUCCAUUCCAUUUUAAAAUUGAAUUUACAUGUUUACUGAAAUUUAUGAACUGCAUAAACUUUUUUAAGGAAGACAUGAUGACAGUGCAAGUUUUGUUUAGAAAGUUAAUUGGGUUUUUUCUAC